rnacentral:rRNA from 1 species
UUAAGUUAAUAAGGGCGCACGGUGGAUGCCUUGGCACUAGGAGCCGACGAAGGACGUGACAAACGACGAUAUGCCUUGGGUAGCUGUAAGUAAGCGAUGAUCCAGGGAUUUCCGAAUGGGGGAACCCAACAGGUAAUACCUGUUAUCCACAUCUGUUAAGGAUGUGAGGAGGAAGACGCAGUGAACUGAAACAUCUAAGUAGCUGCAGGAAGAGAAAGCAAAAGCGAUUGCCUUAGUAGCGGCGAGCGAAACGGCAGAAGGGCAAACCGAAGAGUUUACUCUUCGGGGUUGUAGGACUGCAAUGUGGACUCAAAGAUUAUAGAAGAAUGAUUUGGGAAGAUCAGCCAAAGAGAGUAAUAGCCUCGUAUUUAAAAUAGUCUUUGUACCUAGCAGUAUCCUGAGUACGGCGGGACACGUGAAAUCCCGUCGGAAUCUGGGAGGACCAUCUCCCAACCCUAAAUACUCCCUAGUGACCGAUAGUGAACCAGUACCGUGAGGGAAAGGUGAAAAGCACCCCGGGAGGGGAGUGAAAUAGAACCUGAAACCGUGUGCCUACAACAAGUUCGAGCCCGUUAAUGGGUGAGAGCGUGCCUUUUGUAGAAUGAACCGGCGAGUUACGUUAUGAUGCGAGGUUAAGUUGAAGAGACGGAGCCGUAGGGAAACCGAGUCUGAAUAGGGCGCCUUAGUAUCAUGACGUAGACCCGAAACCAUGUGACCUACCCAUGAGCAGGUUGAAGGUGCGGUAAGACGCACUGGAGGACCGAACCAGGGCACGUUGAAAAGUGCUUGGAUGACUUGUGGGUAGCGGAGAAAUUCCAAACGAACUUGGAGAUAGCUGGUUCUCUCCGAAAUAGCUUUAGGGCUAGCGUCGACAUUAGAGAUUCUUGGAGGUAGAGCACUGUUUGGGUGAGGGGUCCAUCCCGGAUUACCAAUCUCAGAUAAACUCCGAAUGCCAAUGAAUUAUGGUCGGCAGUCAGACUGCGAGUGCUAAGAUCCGUAGUCGAAAGGGAAACAGCCCAGACCACCAGCUAAGGUCCCAAAAUAAUUGUUAAGUGGAAAAGGAUGUGGGGUUGCACAGACAACUAGGAUGUUAGCUUAGAAGCAGCUAUUCAUUCAAAGAGUGCGUAAUAGCUCACUAGUCGAGUGACCCUGCGCCGAAAAUGUACCGGGGCUAAAACAAUUUACCGAAGCUGUGGAUACCUUUAUAGGUAUGGUAGGAGAGCGUUCUAUGUGUGAUGAAGGUAUACCGUGAGGAGUGCUGGAACGCAUAGAAGUGAGAAUGCCGGUAUGAGUAGCGAAAGACAGGUGAGAAUCCUGUCCACCGUAAGACUAAGGUUUCCAGGGGAAGGCUCGUCCGCCCUGGGUUAGUCGGGACCUAAGGAGAGACCGAAAGGUGUAUCCGAUGGACAACAGGUUGAUAUUCCUGUACUAGAGUAUGUAGUGAUGGAGGGACGCAGUAGGCUAACUAAAGCAGACGAUUGGAAGAGUCUGUCUAAGCAGUGAGGUGUGAAUUGAGUCAAAUGCUUAAUUCUAUAACAUUGAGCUGUGAUGGGGAGCGAAGUUUAGUAGCGAAGUUAGUGACGUCACACUGCCAAGAAAAGCUUCUAGCGUUUAAACAUACUCUACCCGUACCGCAAACCGACACAGGUAGUCGAGGCGAGUAGCCUCAGGUGAGCGAGAGAACUCUCGUUAAGGAACUCGGCAAAAUGACCCCGUAACUUCGGGAGAAGGGGUGCUGACUUAAAGUCAGCCGCAGUGAAUAGGCCCAAGCAACUGUUUAUCAAAAACACAGCUCUCUGCUAAAUCGUAAGAUGAUGUAUAGGGGGUGACGCCUGCCCGGUGCUGGAAGGUUAAGAGGAGUGCUUAGCGUAAGCGAAGGUAUGAAUUGAAGCCCCAGUAAACGGCGGCCGUAACUAUAACGGUCCUAAGGUAGCGAAAUUCCUUGUCGGGUAAGUUCCGACCCGCACGAAAGGCGUAAUGAUUUGGGCACUGUCUCAACGAGAGACUCGGUGAAAUUUUAGUACCUGUGAAGAUGCAGGUUACCCGCGACAGGACGGAAAGACCCCAUGGAGCUUUACUGCAGUUUGAUAUUGAGUGUCUGUACCACAUGUACAGGAUAGGUAGGAGUCUAAGAGAUCGGGACGCCAGUUUCGAAGGAGACGCUGUUGGGAUACUACCCUUGUGUUAUGGCCACUCUAACCCAGAUAGGUGAUCCCUAUCGGAGACAGUGUCUGACGGGCAGUUUGACUGGGGCGGUCGCCUCCUAAAAGGUAACGGAGGCGCCCAAAGGUUCCCUCAGAAUGGUUGGAAAUCAUUCGCAGAGUGUAAAGGUAUAAGGGAGCUUGACUGCGAGAGCUACAACUCGAGCAGGGACGAAAGUCGGGCUUAGUGAUCCGGUGGUUCCGUAUGGAAGGGCCAUCGCUCAACGGAUAAAAGCUACCCUGGGGAUAACAGGCUUAUCUCCCCCAAGAGUUCACAUCGACGGGGAGGUUUGGCACCUCGAUGUCGGCUCGUCGCAUCCUGGGGCUGUAGUCGGUCCCAAGGGUUGGGCUGUUCGCCCAUUAAAGCGGCACGCGAGCUGGGUUCAGAACGUCGUGAGACAGUUCGGUCCCUAUCCGUCGCGGGCGUAGGAAAUUUGAGAGGAUCUGCUCCUAGUACGAGAGGACCAGAGUGGACUUACCGCUGGUGUACCAGUUGUCUUGCCAAAGGCAUCGCUGGGUAGCUAUGUAGGGAAGGGAUAAACGCUGAAAGCAUCUAAGUGUGAAACCCACCUCAAGAUGAGAUUUCCCAUGAUUAUAUAUCAGUAAGAGCCCUGAGAGAUGAUCAGGUAGAUAGGUUAGAAGUGGAAGUGUGGCGACACAUGUAGCGGACUAAUACUAAUAGCUCGAGGACUUAUCCAA